rnacentral:lncRNA from 1 species
UAAAAAACCCUAGGUCUCUUAAACCCUUUUAAUACCUCCGUUUCCACUGAGCCAAACGCGAAUCAUCAGCUCCCAAUGGCUGCUCUAUCUAGGCUUCAGAAGACCUCACUCCAAAAUCUCAUUCACCGCCAUCUCCUCCGCCCCGUACCCACUUCUUUUGCGGCGGCCGCCACUAUCCAGCCGCUUAACAUUUCCCCUGAAUCUCAACCCUCGCAGUGUUUUGAUUUACAUCAUUUAAAGUCGAUUUUGGCUGAACAUUUUUCUGAUAAGAACAAGUUGAGCUCAAAUGCUACUGAAUUUGUUCUGAAUUGUAAUUUUCCUAUUGGUAUUUCUGCUUUGCCUUCAUUUGAUUUGUCCCUGAUGGAGCUACGUGGCAGCCGUUCGACCAGUAGUAAGAACAGUCGUGAUCUAGAGGAAGACGAUGACGAAGAUGAUUUUGAUGAUGAAGAUAGUGAUGCGCCUAUGGACUUUGAUGAUAUGGAUGACGAGUUUGGAAGCGAAAGUGAUUCGGGUGAUGAUGACGAAGACUAUGGCCGCGGCGGCCGUGGUGGUGGUUCUCGCGGUGGUGCUGCUUAUACAGCGUGAAAUUUGGACCAAGUCCACUUUGCUUUGUCCUUCUAAUAUGCUAAUUUCACCUUAAUUUUGUUUUCCUGAGCAAUGAAAUUAUUUGGUCUUACCUGUGAAGCUUUUUGUAAUCGUUUUAUAGUGGAAAACAUAUUCAAUCACUCU